UGGGGAAUAUUGCACAAUGGGCGCAAGCCUGAUGCAGCGACGCCGCGUGGGGGAUGACGGCCUUCGGGUUGUAAACUCCUUUCGCUAGGGACGAAGCCACUCGUGGUGACGGUACCUGGAGAAGAAGCACCGUCUAACUACGUGCCAGCAGCCGCGGUAAUACGUAGGGUGCGAGCGUUGUCCGGAAUUACUGGGCGUAAAGAGCUCGUAGGUGGUUUGUCGCGUCGUCUGUGAAAUCCCGGGGCUUAACUUCAGGCGUGCAGGCGAUACGGGCAUAACUUGAGUGCUGUAGGGGAGACUGGAAUUCCUGGUGUAGCGGUGAAAUGCGCAGAUAUCAGGAGGAACACCAAUGGCGAAGGCAGGUCUCUGGGCAGUAACUGACGCUGAGGAGCGAAAGCAUGGGUAGCGAACAGG
rnacentral:rRNA from 1 species